rnacentral:rRNA from 1 species
GACAGAGGGGGCAAGCGUUGCUCGGAAUCACUGGGCGUAAAGGGCGCGUAGGCGGGAUGGCAAGUCGGUCGUGAAAUCCUUCGGCUCAACCGAAGAACGUCGGCCGAUACUGCCGUUCUUGAGGGAUGCAGAGGAGAUUGGAAUUCCCGGUGUAGCGGUGAAAUGUGUAGAGAUCAGGAAGAACACCGGUGGCGAAAGCGUUCUGCUAGACCUGUACUGACACUGAGGGACGAAAGCUAGGGGAGCGAAUGGG